CACAGCAGGAGCCGAGGGUUCCAGGCUUUCCUGUGCUUAGACUGUGGGAGGAUAAAAGCCCAGGGGUCCUUUGGUCAGGGUUCCUCCUCAGAGGCACCAGCUCAAGCUGUUUUUGUGUUAUUUAGUUACUGCACCAAGAUUAAAUGAUUUUAAGGAUUGGCUCACCUGAAACUGCUGUGGGAAACCUGGGUUUGAGCCAGCUGAAGCCUGGUGUGACUGUGCGAGUGUGGGGGUGUAGCUGUGAAGGGGCCUCGGUCCCAGCUCAGGUGUGUGAGUGUGACUGACAGAGUGGCUCCUGGAGGGAUGGGGAGGGAAGUUUUUUAAACCUUUAUUCCUGAUUCUCUCUUUUGUUGCCCCAUUGGAGGUGCGAGUCAUUGAGGUUGGUUCAUCACACAUUGAUGCUGCCACUUCUUCCUCUUCAGGGGAAGGACUCCUCACACACCUCCCCUGUUCCAGCAUGGAGUCCCUCCCAUGAGAGACAGCCCUCCACAAACUUUCCUGAAGCAAGAGACCAACUGAACUGAAAUGUGGAAUGAGCAGAUAACAAGAGCAGUGACACUUGGGAAGGAGGCAUCUCCAGGACAGAAUCCAAGGCUUAAUGAUAGCAUUUGUGGGCAACUGUAUUUUGCAGUGGUCAGUUUCCUAACAAACAACAAAUGCUAUCUGAAGACAGGAAGGAGAAAGGUCUCCUGGAAUUUAUUUCAUCAGUCCUUAAUUUGCCCUUCAAACAACAAAAGAAGAGACAUGCUGCUAUUUGGAAGCUGACUGAUUAUGAACCAGGGGCUUUGAUCCCUACUUUUCCUGAAGACACACCAGUAAGCAAAGCCAAAA